UGCCAGCAAUGCCGUGAUGGCUUCUUUGGGC
rnacentral:piRNA from 1 species